UUCUCCUUCUUCUCUUGCUCAUAGUUGCUCAUCUCUCUCUCUCUCUCUCUCUCACACAAGGGCGUAGGGUAGCAGAGGCGGCAGCGUGCAGUGGCGUCCAGCAGCGGCAGCAUCUCUCAGUCGCUCAGCGGCGUCUCUCUCCUUCUCUCUCACGUGCUCACUCAGUCUCAAUCGCCUCUCUCUCACUCACUCAGUGGCGUAGAGCAGCGAGUUGGCGUAGAGCGACUACGAGUAGCGACGGCGAGUAGGGGCAGUGGCAGCAGCGUCCCACUCCAUCGUCAUCUUCUCCAAGUCCUACUGCCCAUAUGCUCUCUCUCUCUCUCUCUCUCUCUCUCUAUAAAAACGUUCUUAACAAUUUGACUUAGCUUUAAAACUAAUUCAGGAAACAUGUUUACACCUUUCACACAUGAAUUCACACCUUCCUCUAUUUCCCCAUUUCUCACUUUUGAUCUAGGGUUUAUAUAAUUUAUUCAAUUUAAUUUCUUGUUUUUUUGGUUUAAUUUCUUCAAAUUGCGGUAAAUUUGGAGUUGCAUUUGUAUAUUUUCUAGCUAAUUUUUCUAUUCUCUUUGUUUUUGUUGGGGGAAUUGGGAUUGUCUUGAAUGUUCCUUUGAAAGUGUAGAUUUAUUUUAUUUUAUUUUAUUUGGGUAACAAUUGACAAAACAAAAAAACAAAAAACAAAAGCACUAAUUUGUAAUGUAGCAGGGAUGUGCCUUUUACAACUCCAAAAUCAAUAUAUGCGAUGAUGGUAUCUAAUAGCCUUCUAAAUUUUAAUUUAUCAAACUAAUUGGUUGAAGGGUUCAGCUGGUGUGGGUUGCAGAAGUGCUGACUUUUUCUUACUUGUUUACAGGAUUCAACUGAAGUAGUAUUUGCCCCAACAAGUGAUGUGUUUCAAACUCUUAAGCGGUAUAACAAUGUUCAAUUGGAUGGAAAGCCUAUGAGGAUUGAAAUAAUAGGCACCAACUCAGAGGUUCAUGUUUCAACUCGUGUCAAUGUAAUUGGAGGUGUAAAUGGGACGCGAACUGUUGUUAUAUUUUGUGGAUCUUGUAAUCGAGUUUGAUCUUAAGGUGACUCUUCUUAAAGGCCUUAGACAGGAAUUGAUGAGCAGAUUAGAGAUCAUAUAUGGACAUGUUUGGUAAUUUGGAGAGCAGAAGCUUGCGCAUUUUGUGUUUUUGUUAAUAUUACCUUACAUGUAUUUUGGUUGUGUUGUAAAUUUUAUAUUUUUCUAGGUAUCAGGGGAUAUGUUUGGUAAUCUGCACUUGAUAUUAUAUUUUUGUGGAUAUUAGGAGACAUUUUUUUUUUUUUUAAUAUUAGGAGACGUGUUUGGUAAUCCGCAGUUGAUAUUGUAUUUUUGUGGAUAUUAUGAGACAUUUUGACUAUG